rnacentral:rRNA from 1 species
AUGCUACUUGCAACAUUCGCGGUUACCAUCACAUACGUGGCCGGACUGGGCCCACCUGGUGGAUUCUGGAGCAACAGCCAGGACGGCCACCGUGUGAGCGACCCAAUUAUGCAGGACCACAACUCCAGCCGGUACCAGGCAUUCUUCGUGUGCAAUAGCACUGCACUUGUUGCGUCCUUGCUCAUCAUCGUGCUGCUCCUGGACAAGAAGCUGAGCAAGAACUUUUCUGUAAGGUCUGUUGCACUGUAUGGUUUCAUAGCGGUGGCGCUCAUCGGCCUUGUGGGGGGCUAUGCUGCAGGGAGCUGCAGGGAAGCUGAUAAUACCAUCUAUGUCGUUUUUCUGGCUGGUGCAGUUCUUGCAUACAUAUUUCUACAGCUGGCUAUUACUAAAGCCAUGAAAAAGAAGGACAGAUGGUGCCAUACACAACUCACAACCAUACGUGAUUCUACUUGGCUGAAGAAAAUAAAAGGCAUGUUUGCUCCUAGUCCUGCAAGUUCUAGCACUAGCAGGUACGAUACAAUUUUAACUCAGUAUAUCUAUGCAAUUACCAGCAAUACAGGAGCUGACAAAGUACUGGAAAAGAAUCACUCUCUUGUCAUGUUGCUCGCUACUCUUGUGGUGAGCAUGACUUAUCAAGCUGGAUUAGAGCCACCAGGCGGCCUUUGGCCAGAUGAGCAGGAUGGACAUAAGGGUGGUGAACCAGUACUCCUCACAACUCAUCCUACUGGGUACAAGGUGUUCUUCUAUAGCAACUCAGCCGCCUUCGUGGCAUCCUUAGUCGUCAUCAUAAUGGUCCAGAGUAUAUUUCUACUUCAGCGCCAUACAUUGCAUGCAGCCAUGCUACUGGAUUUGUUUGGCCUCAUAACAGCAUACGCUGCAGGGAGCAAUAGGGAUCCAAGCACCUCCAUCUAUGUUGUCGCCUUGGCAGGUGUUGUCCUUGUGUAUGUGGUGAUUCAUAUAGUAUUCUUCACGUUAGAAAGCAUGUGGGAAGCCACCAAAAUCCCGAUAAGUUGGAUAGGAGGCGCGAGAUGUUACUGUUGCUUGCGAUCUUGGCUGCAACACUCACUUACCAAGCUGGCCUGA